UAUGGCUCAGAACGAACGCUGGCGGCGCGUUUAAGCAUGCAAGUCGAGCGGCAAGGGCCUUCGGGCCCCUAGAGCGGCGGACGGGUGAGUAACACGUGGACAAUCUGCCCCCCGGCCCGGGAUAGCCCAGGGGAAACCUGAAUUAAUACCGGAUGAGACGGGACCCGCGAUGGCGGGAUCCGGGAAAGGCGCUGCGGCGCCGCCGGGGGAUGAGUCUGCGUCCCAUUAGCUAGACGGCGGGGUAACGGCCCACCGUGGCGACGAUGGGUAGCCGGCCUGAGAGGGUGGACGGCCACAUUGGAACUGAGACACGGUCCAGACUCCUACGGGAGGCAGCAGCUAAGAAUCUUCCGCAAUGGGCGAAAGCCUGACGGAAGCGACGCCGCGUGAACGAAGAAGGCCGUGAGGUUGUAAAGUUCUUUUCGGGAGGGGGAACAACCGUGGCAGGGAAUGGCCGCGGGAUGACGUGAAUCCCGGAAUAAGCCCCGGCUAACUACGUGCCAGCCGCCGC
rnacentral:rRNA from 1 species